rnacentral:rRNA from 1 species
UACGUAGGGGGCAAGCGUUAUCCGGAUUUACUGGGUGUAAAGGGCGUGUAGGCGGGAUUUCAAGUCAGAUGUGAAAACCUGUGGCUCAACCACGGGCCUGCAUUUGAAACUGAAGUUCUUGAGUGCUGGAGAGGCUAACGGAAUUCCUAGUGUAGCGGUGAAAUGCGUAGAUAUUAGGAAGAACACCAGUGGCGAAGGCGGUUAGCUGGACAGUAACUGACGCUGAGGCGCGAAAGCGUGGGGAGCAAACAGG